rnacentral:rRNA from 1 species
AGUGAACGCUGGCGGUAGGCCUAACACAUGCAAGUCGAACGGCAGCACAGGAGAGCUUGCUCUCUGGGUGGCGAGUGGCGGACGGGUGAGGAAUACAUCGGAAUCUACUUUUUCGUGGGGGAUAACGUAGGGAAACUUACGCUAAUACCGCAUACGACCUACGGGUGGAAGCAGGGGAUCUUCGGACCUUGCGCGAUUGAAUGAGCCGAUGUCGGAUUAGCUAGUUGGCGGGGUAAAGGCCCACCAAGGCGACGAUCCGUAGCUGGUCUGAGAGGAUGACCAGCCACACUGGAACUGAGACACGGUCCAGACUACUACCGGAGGCAGCAGUGGGGAAUAUUGGACAAUGGGCGCAAGCCUGAUCCAGCCAUACCGCGUGGGUGAAGAAGGCCUUCGGGUUGUAAAGCCCUUUUGUUGGGAAAGAAAUCCAGCUGGUUAAUACCCGGUUGGGAUGACGGUACCCAACGAAUAAGCACCGGCUAACUUCGUGCCAGCAGCCGCCGCAG